UACGGGGGGGGCAAGCGUUGUUCGGAAUUACUGGGCGUAAAGGGUGCGUAGGCGGCCAACUAAGUCAGACGUGAAAUCCCUCGGCUUAACCGGGGAACUGCGUCUGAUACUGGAUGGCUUGAAUCCGGGAGAGGGAUGCGGAAUUCCAGGUGUAGCGGUGAAAUGCGUAGAUAUCUGGAGGAACACCGGUGGCGAAGGCGACAUCCUGGACCGGUAUUGACGCUGAGUGAGCGAAAGCCAGGGGAGCAAACGGG
rnacentral:rRNA from 1 species